rnacentral:misc_RNA from 1 species
GAAGAUAUAUAUUACCCUCGAUCCAAGUAUCAAGGCAACAUUGAUGGAGCUUAUUUUGGAACCACAUUUCCUCAUCUAUUCCUGAUGACAUAUGGGCACCUGAAGCCACAAAAGGCAACCCAGAGCUAUGUACCGAGAGUUUUUGGCUUCAAGAUGCACAAACCUUGAGAUGGGGUUUGAGCUGCACAUAAUUCAGUCAAGGUGUCCCCAUUGGUGCUGGUCCACGGUCCUUGUUGUUUUUUUUUUUUUUU